rnacentral:rRNA from 1 species
CCUACGGGAGGCAGCAGUAGGGAAUCUUGCGCAAUGGGGGAAACCCUGAAGCAGCAACGCCGCGUGAGGGAUGAAGGUUUUCGGAUUGUAAACUCCUUUUGUUAGAGAAGAUCAUGACGUUGUCUAACUGAUAACCACCGGCUAACUCCGUGCCAGCAGCCGCGGUAAUACGGAGGGUGCAAGCGUUACUCGGAAUCACUGGGCGUAAAGAGCGCGGAGGCGGGAUCGCAAGUCAGAUGUGAAAGCCUAUGGCUUAACCAUAGAACUGCAUUUGAAACUGUGAUUCUAGAGUAUGGGAGAGGUAGGUGGAAUUCUUGGUGUAGGGGUAAAAUCCGUAGAGAUCAAGAGGAAUACUCAUUGCGAAGGCGACCUGCUAGAACAUAACUGACGCUGAUGCGCGAAAGCGUGGGGAGCAAACAGGAUUAGAUACCCGAGUAGUC